rnacentral:rRNA from 1 species
AAGGGCGUAUGGGGGAUGUCUUGGCAUCAGAUGGCGAUGAAGGGCGUGGAAGACUGCGAUAAUCUUGGGGAAGUUGUCAAACGAGCGUUGAUCCCGAGGUUCCUGAAUUAUCAUAUGCUGAAUACAUAGGUAUAUGAGGCGUACGCGGCGAACUGAAACAUCUCAGUAACCGCAGGAAAGGAAAGCAACAGCGACUUCGUGAGUAGCGGCGAGCGAAAGCGAAUCUAGCCUAAACCGUCUUGCUUCGGCUUGACGGGGUUGUGGGGCUUGUCAUUGUGAAGUUACAAAACUGUUUAUUAGAAGAAUUCGUUGGAAAGCGAAACCAUAGAGGGUGACAGUCCCGUAUUCGAAAGUAAUCAGACUUCCGACAAGUACCCGAGUAGGUCCGGCCACGUGGAAUCCGGAUUGAAUCUGGGAGGUCCAUCUCCUAAGGCUAAGUAUUCUCUGAUGACCGAUAGUGAAAAGUAGGGUGACCGAAAGAUGAAAAGAACCCCUGUUAGGGGAGGGAAAGAACCUGAAACCAUACGCUUACAAGCUGUCGGAGCACGAUUAUCUUCGGAUACGUGUGACGGCGUGCCUUUUGCAUAAUGAUCCGGCGAGUUGCGGUCAGCGGCUCGGUUAAGGCCUUCCGGGCCGAAGCCUCAGGGAAACCGAGUCUGAAUAGGGCGUCAUUGUCGUUGGCUGCAGACGCGAACCUGGGUGAUCUACCCAUGAGCAGGUUGAAGCGCGGGUUGUACCGCGUGGAGGACCGAACCCACUUGGGUUGAAAACCGAGGGGAUGACUUGUGGGGAGGAGUGAAAGUCUAAUCAAACCCAGAGAUAGCUCGUUCUCUCCGAAAU